rnacentral:rRNA from 1 species
ACAUGCAAGUCGAACGAGAAAGUGGAGCAAUCCAUGAGUAAAGUGGCGACCGGGUGAGUAACACGUGACUAACCUACCUCCGAGUGGGGAAUAACUCCGGGAAACCGGGGCUAUUACCGCAUAACAUCGCAAGAUCAAAGCAGCAAUGCGCUUGGAGAGGGGGUCGCGGCUGAUUAGCUAGUUGGCGGGGUAACGGCCCACCAAGGCGAAGAUCGGUAUCCGGCCUGAGAGGGCGCACGGACACACUGGAACUGAAACACGGUCCAGACUCCUACGGGAGGCAGCAGUGGGGAAUUUUGCGCAAUGGGGGAAACCCUGACGCAGCAACGCCGCGUGGAGGAUGAAGCCCUUUGGGGCGUAAACUCCUUUCGACUCGGACGAUAAUGACGGUACGAGUGGAAGAAGUACCGGCUAACUCUGUGCCAGCAGCCGCGGUAAUACAGAGGGUGCGAGCGUUGUUCGGAAUUAUUGGGCGUA